CUAAGAAUAUUCCGCAAUGGAGGAAACUCUGACGGAGCGACGCCGCGUGGAUGAUGAAGGUCGGAAGAUUGUAAAAUCCUUUUAUGACUGAGGAAUAAGCUGGGUGAGAGAAACGCCUGGUGGUGACUGUAGGUCAUGAAUAAGCAACGGCUAAUUACGUGCCAGCAGCCGCGGUAACACGUAAGUUGCGAGCGUUGUUCGGAAUUAUUGGGCGUAAAGGGCAUGUAGGCGGUAUUGCAAGCCUGGUGUGAAAGGCAGGGGCUCAACCUCUGGACUGCGCUGGGAACUGCGAUACUAGAGUCGCUGAGGGGCAAUCAGAAUUCCAGGUGUAGGGGUGAAAUCUGUA
rnacentral:rRNA from 1 species